rnacentral:misc_RNA from 1 species
UAGAUACUGUGAGGUACCAUGAGGUAUCAAAAUUUACACUAAAAUUUUGGUACCUCAUGGUACCUCCUUA